rnacentral:rRNA from 1 species
GACGAACGCUGGCGGCGUGCUUAACACAUGCAAGUCGAGCGGUAAGGCCCUUUCGGGGGUACACGAGCGGCGAACGGGUGAGUAACACGUGGGUGACCUGCCCUCAGCUCUGGGAUAAGCCUGGGAAACCGGGUCUAAUACUGGAUAUGACUCCAUGACGCAUGUUGUGGGGUGGAAAGCCUUGUGCGGCUGAGGAUGGGCCCGCGGCCUAUCAGCUUGUUGGUGGGGUGAGGCCUACCAAGGCGACGACGGGUAGCCGGCCUGAGAGGGCGACCGGCC